ACCCGCCACGCUUAGCGCGUGGGGAGACAGUGUCAGGUGGGCAGUUUGACUGGGGCGGUCGCCUCCUAAAGAGUAACGGAGGCGCCCAAAGGUUCCCUCAGAAUGGAUGGAAAUCAUUCGCAGAGUGGAAAGGCACAAGGGAGCUUGACUGCGAGACUGACAAGUCGAGCAGGGACGAAAGUCGGGCUUAGUGAUCCGGUGGUUCCGCAUGGAAGGGCCAUCGCUCAACGGAUAAAAGCUACCCCGGGGAUAACA
rnacentral:rRNA from 1 species